rnacentral:rRNA from 1 species
AGAGGGUGCAAGCGUUAAUCGGAAUUACUGGGCGUAAAGGGUGCGUAGGUGGUAUGUUAAGUCAGAUGUGAAAGCCCUGGGCUCAACCUUGGAACUGCAUUUGAAACUAGCAAACUAGAGUAUGGUAGAGGGAAGUGGAAUUUCCGGUGUAGCGGUGAAAUGCGUAGAUAUCGGAAGGAACACCAGUGGCGAAGGCGACUUCCUGGACCAUAACUGACGCUGAGGCACGAAAGCGUGGGGAGCAAACAGGGAUUAGAUACCCUGGUAGUCCACGCUGUAAACGAUGAGAACUAGAUGUUAGGGUGCUUGCACUUUAGUAUCGUAGCUAACGCGUUAAGUUCUCCGCCUGGGAGUACGGCCGCAAGGUUA